GAGGUUCGAGAAAGCGACUCUAUCAGGUACAGCACUAGUAGCUGUCUGUGAAGAUGGAGGGGGAUUACGCCUCGGAUUCUUCUGAAAUAUUGGCCAAAGGCUUCAAAGGAUCCGCAGCGGGAGGCGAGGGUGGGGGAGCAUCUCCCCAGCUCGCACCCACCCCUUCCCACUUUGCGUCUACCAAAUGACAGGCUGGUGCUCGCUCUGGGUGAUUUUGGCCUUGGCCUCAGCCAAGCAGCUGAUGCAGAGGAGGGCCAGCUUUGCAAGACUGACAGAACUCUGAAUGCUAGAGAAAGAAGAAGAAAAAGAAAAAGAAUUUUUUUUUUCCGAGCAGUCCUUGGGAGAUUUUCUCGUUCUCUCUCGAUUUAUUUAUUUAUUUCUAUUUUUUUUAACCGACUAUUUUCCAAAUUCGAUCAGCCCCAGCCCCUCCCUCCACUCCCACCCAACAGCCUUCCCCCCACCCCCCACCCCCGGUCAAAGCAUAAACCACAGAGUUACGGUCUUCUUUGGAUUUUGGAGUAUCGCUUCCUGCCCCCGCCUUCCCUCCCCGCCCCAUUCUCUGUCCUAUUGAACACCUCGCCCAGCCUAGAGCUCACAUUCUCCCCCUGCUCCCGAUGGCGCUCCUGGAAGCUCUGCAACUAUGCUCCACUUCAAAUGGACCCAUAACUGGUGUUACACCCCCACUCCCUGCCACCACAAAUACUGAGUCCAUUCCAGGAAUAGAAACCGCCGAAGGAUUACAUUCUCCACGGAGAACGAUCUCUAUGAAGGAAGAAGAUGGACAAUGUCUAUACGCCAUCUUCAGUUGGUAACGCUGUGGCAGUUAGCAUAACCAGUGCUAGGCAAGAUUCAACCGCACUGGCUGCGGUAUGCGUGGCCAACCGGAGUGAGGACAAAUCCCAUUCCGUCUGAAGACUGUCUCCUGCCAGAGAUCAAAUGCAGCUCGCACAUACAUGACACCAAGCAGAAGCAAGUACUAUUCCAUUACAAAUGAAGCAGAGAGAGCCAGAAUUAUUUGGUCAGCUUGGUAUUCAAAAUGGUUGAGAUUCUGACCUUCCCACUCCUUCCUUAAUUAUCUUGAUAAUUUUGGCAAGAGGAGGUUUGUGGGGUGGAGAGGGAUAAUUCUGAAAGAAUUAAAUAAUUAUAGCAGUCAGGAAAUCCAUCCAGGGUUUUAUAAAUUCCUGCAUAAUAGUUCAAAAUCUCUUGAUUUUUCAUCGUGUAUAAGCUAAAUUCAUUAGCACAUACCUUAGAUCAUCUGUUAGAUGCCUAGCAGUGUAAAAACACAGGGCCUGUGAAGUGUUUUUUUUGGUUUUGUUUUGUUUUUAAUCUUGACUUUUACAGAAUAAAAACUACCACCACCAACAACAACAAGAGAACAGACAUGUUGCAUUUAAAAUUGUACCUAUUUCUUUCUGGCUCUCAGCUUUUCUUUUAAUGCCGCAGUAAUACCACUGUUCAUUUCCUGUUCAACUUCAAACCUACCUUUUGAUUCUUCCAAUGUCCCUUAGGCUAAUGUUUUCACAAAGAAUGAAAUGAACAGACAGAAACAAUUAAGUGAGCAGAUACAGUGAAAAGGAACACCGGCUGCCGCUUUCACACGACUGGAAGUGUAGGAAUGAAUUCUGCUUGGAAUCUGAUCCUCCAGCCACAGGGCUUUUGCUGCUCACAUCAUUUUUCUUCUGCAAACCCCCCUCAGCCCCCAGUGUACUGCACGCCACUUUUCCUUUAUGGAAGGAAAAGAUCGAGGCACACAAAGAAAGGCCCAAAUACUCACAGGCACGGGAAAUAUUUUCUCUGCCUGUUACUAGGACCGGAUAAGCUCCAAGAAAGAAAAUCCACCUAGAUAUUUUAAACUGGGGAAUGUCUCCCCAAAGCCUGGUAAAUGUUCACAUGUGUCUUCAUGAAAUUUGUAAUAUGGAUUGUUUACACAGCCCUGAUUGAGGGCAUGAGCACCAUUAAAAAGGAUCAAGUCGGUUUAGGGAUGGAAAAUUGUAGAAACCAGAGCUGUUAUCCACAAGGAGAAGUGUAGGUUUUGGUUUCUUUGAAACAAUAAUACGCAGGACUUGAUAUUAAAAGGUAUUUCAACAGCCAAGAGUAAGCUGUUGGUGACCCUUCGAAGUUCUAUAAGGAAUCAACAAGGUGGUAAGUCACUCUCCUCAAACAGGUCUGAAGGCAAGUGUUGAUGACAUGGCUGGGGCUCUAUGACAUCUCCUUCUCUCUCUUUCCAGUAGCACACUAAGAGAUUUUCCAUGGCGGGAGCUCGGCACUCCUGGAGUGGGGUUUACUUUGUUCAGGCGUUGUGUUGGUAUUUGAGGAGACUGGCUACAACUCCACAAGGCGGUUGCUGAGGAUGGAGCCUCUGUGUAUCUCAGAAGACUGCAGUUCUUACUGCUAGGAGACUGCAUGGCUAGUUCCCUCUGAGUUAAGCUUCUAUUUUUGAAGCCCAGAUGCAAUAAGGAGGUGCCUAUGAUAGACACAGAAUACAAACCCCACACAGCUUAAAGCUGGCAGAUGUCUUCUGCAAAACGAUGCCACACCUUGACCCUGAAUGAGGAAGAAGGCAGGGAUCCAUAGGAUUAUCCGGAGUGGAAAACAUGGCUUCCACUUCUAAUUUGUUUUUUAAAAACGGAAUCAUACCUAUGAAUUUCUUAAUAAAAUAUCUUUCUUGUAAAA
rnacentral:lncRNA from 1 species